rnacentral:rRNA from 1 species
AGAUUGAACGCUGGCGGCAUGCUUUACACAUGCAAGUCGUGCGGCAGCGCGGGGGCAACCCUGGCGGCGAGCGGCGAACGGGUGAGGAAUACAUCGGAACGUACCCCGGAGUGGGGGAUAACCCAGCGAAAGUUGGACUAAUACCGCAUAUGCUCUGAGGAGGAAAGCAGGGGACUUCGCAAGAGGCCUUGCGCUCUGGGAGCGGCCGAUGUCCGAUUAGCUAGUUGGUGGGUAAUGGCUCACCAAGGCGACGAUCGGUAGCUGGUCUGAGAGGAUGAUCAGCCACACUGGGACUGAGACACGGCCCAGACUCCUACGGGAGGCAGCAGUGGGGAAUUUGGACAAUGGGGGCAACCUGAUCCAGCCAUGCCGCGUGCGGAAGAGGCCUCGGUGUAACCGCUUUGGUCGGAAGAAGGCAGCUUGAUACGGCCUGUCUUUGACGUACGGCAGACGUAAGCACGCAACUACGUGCCAGCAGCCGCGUAACG